CUGGAGGAGUCUGGCCAUCUCCACUGUUUUUUCCUGAUCAUAUUCUGCAAUACUUUACCUUUGUAGAGCUACUGAAUUGUCACUGCUAAUUCCUAUAAGAGUAGUUCUUCAUACAGCUUCCAAAAACUUUUCUAAGAGUCCUGAAUAAGUAUUUUCAUACAAAUGGAUAUACACUAAACUUCGGAAAAUAGAAGAUGAGCUACAAAGACAGCAAUAGGAAAUACUCUACAACAGAGCUAGGACGAUCUCCUUACUGAGGUACCUCACUAUAUAUUGUAAAAAAAUAUUGUGUAUUUU
rnacentral:lncRNA from 1 species